UUUUUUUUUUUUUUUUUUUUUUUUUGCCAUUUCUUGGGCUGCACCCGUGGCAUUUGGAGGUUCCCAGGCUAGGGGUCGAAUUGGAGCUGAAGCCGCCACCCUACGAAAGAGCCACAGCAACCGGGGACCUGAGCCGCGUCUACGACCUACACCACAGCUCACAGCAACACCAGAUCCUUAACCCACUGAGCAAGGCCAGGGAUCAAACCUGCAACCUCAUGGUUCCUAGUCAGAUUCGUUAACCACUGAGCCACGACGGGAACUCCUCAAAUAUGCUACCUUCUGACAAGGCUGCUUCUUUUUAAAAAGAAAACAUAAAAAUUUACAUUGAGUAUAACCAUCCUAAGUGAUUAAGACAUGAAAUGCUUUACUAAAAACUUUGAAAACAUGAAUGAGAGGAAAAUAUUCAAAGAAAACUUUUUCAAGAGGUAGAAAUACUUAACAUAGUAAUCACCAAACAAGUAGAAAUUUGUCAGAGGGCAACGAACUUGAGAAAGAGAGAUGUCAAAGGCACAAGGCCCAGAAGACAAAUGAUUUUUCUGGCUCAUAAAAAAAAAUAUGGCUCUCUUCUUCUUUAAUUAUCCCAGAUCCCUGUGAGGUAAGCACUACCUCUCUACUGUACAGACAAGCACUCCGAGGGCUCAGAAGGGCCAAAGCACUUUCUCUAAGUCACCCAACCAGACUUGGCCAGAGCCUGACAUCUCCAGGAAAAGGCCCAGAAAACUGUUUCAAAAUGCUCCUCAAGUACCCCUGUCAUUAGCCAGGCUUGGAAACUUCUGGCCCUUGCGUGAUCCAAUGGGCAGCAACAGAGCAGCAGCAGCACCAGAGAGCUUGUUAGAAAUGCAGCAUCAGCGUUCCUGUUGUGGCUCAGCAGAACAGAAUCCAACUAGGAACCAUGAAGUUGCAGGUUCGGUCCGUGGCCUUGCUCAGUGGGUUAAGGAUCCAGCGUUGCUGUGAGCUGUGGUGUAGGUCGCAGACAUGGCUCAGAUCCAGCAUUGCUGUGGCUGGGGUGUAGGCUGGCAGCAAGAGCCCCAAUUGGACCCCAACCCUGGGAACCUCCAUAUGGCACGGUUGCAGCCCUAAAAAGACAAAAGCCAAAAAGAAAAAAAAAAAAAAAGAAAGAAAAGAAAUGCAGCAUCUCAGGCCCCACUAUAGACCUGCUCAGUUAGAAAAAGCAUUGUACAGAAUUUCCCAGGUGAUCUGGAUAAACAUUAAAAUGUAAGGAGCACAGAUCUGGACUAUACCUGGCUGAUUUUGUUCAAUUCCUCUUAAAAUAUUGCAAAACCAGUGCCUGUUCUAUUUGACAAAAACAAAACAAAUCAACCAGCAAACUACUAGAACUAGAUAUAGUCAUAUAAAAAAGUAUGGCAAAGUAAAACAAUAACAUUAAAAAAUUAAGAGACAUUUGUAACAUUUGCCAAGAUGUGAUAAAGCAUUAAUACCACUAAUAUAUGAAGCUCUUUUAUGAAUUCACGAGAAAAUCACGAGAAGAACAGGCAAAGCAAAUCAAAAUACAUUGACAAAAAAGUGCAGAUAACUAAAUAUAGCAAUAAAAAUUUUGCAAAUCAGAAAAUUUUACACCAAUUUUUAUACCAAUAAAAAAUUGCAUUUAAGAAACAUGCAUAAUUUUUAUAACUGGGGAUAAAAAUCAAUAGGCACUUAAAUUUUUUAAAAUAUAGACUAUUAUCAAAUACUAAAAGCUAUAAAAAUAUUAACAGGUUAACGGGAGUUCUGAAUGAUAAAAUGACGAUAUUUUCCCUAUUUGCCUACCCGAAUUUCUUGAUCUUUCUACAAUGAAUUUGCAUUCUUUGUAAUAGACAGCAACAAAAAAAAGUUAACUAUUUCCUAGAGUUUGAUCUUAUCUGAAAUCUAAUAGCUUUUACACUAGUCUCUCUUGAUUCUACAUGUGUUUGAAUAAUGCUUGGCCUCUUUUUAUUUUUUUAUUUUUUGUUUUUGUUUUUGUCUUUUUAGAGCUGCACCCAACGGCUUAUGGGGGGUUCCUUAGGCUAGGGAUCGAAUCAGAGCUGCAGCUGCCCGUCUACACCACAGCCACAUCUUCGAGCUACACCACAGCUCACAGCAAUGCUGGAUCCUUAAGCCAGCGAGUGAGGCCAGGGAUCGAACCUGCGUCCUCAUAGAUCCUAGUCAGAUUCGUUUCCACUGAGCCAUGACGGGAUCUCCAUGCUUGGCCUCUUCAUUAACCAUCGCAGCGCUUUGAGGCAGGUCUUUUCAAGUCCUCAUCAAGCACUGGGAGCCCCAAAUACAGCCCCUUUUACAUACACUGACACUGACUGACAGUUUUUCAGACUCUUGUGGGAGUAGAAAUACCUAAAGGCAGCUGGCCUCAGACGCAGACUCCCACAUCCCACCCCCAGAUACCAAUACCAACCCUGUCUGUGUCUAUGGAGGGAUUCAGACAUGGUGCUCCUCCAACUACACUCCAGAACUCCCCCUCCAACAGCCCUAGGGAGUGAGGGUGAGCGCAGAAAGGCGGGCAGUCCCAGCUAGUCCAGAAACUGGGUGAACGGAGGGUCUGACAGGAGGGCAGGGAGCAGCAGUCUCUUUCCAUUGACCGCGAGCAAACCUGCCAGCACUCAGGCCUCUACUCCUGGAAGAGGGCGCCCCAUGGGUGGGGGCAGGCUGGGAAAAGGCUUUCUCCAACAGGUGAGCCGGAGCCCUGAGCAGCCACAAUGUGAAGGCACUUGGAACACCUCCAUGAAUUCACGGAGGCCCAUCUGUCAAGGGUUUCUGCUCAGCGCCCUGAGAAAGAAGCUCCUCCAGAGCCGGCAGAGGUGCAGCUGUGGCUGCCAUGAGGCGCCCCCCAACCAGGACUCCAAACAGCCCAGGCAGGCGUGGUGACCUCUCCCACCCCAGGAGGGCACUGGGGGAGCGAGCAAGACACAGAUGAGGCAAGGCACAGAGCAGUGUUUCUGCCUCCUCCUCCACCUCCUGGGUGUACCCUGGGUUCCACCAUCCCAGAGAUUCAACUAGCAGAGGAGCCAGAAAGAACAUUUCUCUGCCACCCUGAGCACUGAAGGGGAAGACAAACAGCCCACAGGCUAAAUGAGAACCAUCCACUGCUGCAGGCAAACACACAGAACCAGCCACACGGCGGAGGCAGAGGGACUGGCAGAGGCAGAAGAACCUCGAGCUGCUCACAGCCCACCUCUAAGUUAGGCUAUUUCUUUUAUAUGCAAAGUCAAGCGGAUCCCUCCCCACACCUUCUCUUUACAGACCUAGAGGCAGAAAUCCUGACCUCUGCUUAACACCGCGGGGAUUCUUGUGUCUCCAGGCCUGUAACCCUGGUGCCCCAGGGAGGAGGGGUCCCUCGUUCAUGGGUCCUGGUGGAUCCAGCCUUCCCAGGCAGCACAGAUCAGGGACCUAUGCCUAUGGGAGGACCAGCAGCGGAGUAAGGCAGAGUGGCUUGCACUGGACAGCUCCACCAAGAAAAGGUGUCUUUCAUUCAUUCCCCAAUUACAAGACACAAUGAGGGGGAAUGGCACACUGAGAGAAAUAAACUUCACUUGGAAGCUGGGGUGGAGGUGGGGAGAUAGAGCUGGGGGUGUCGCAGACUCUGGAGGAGAAGAGUAGAGAGAAGACACUACCUUUGAGAAAGGAGACCAGCCACACAGACACGGAGCCAGUUCACCAGUGGGCUUACAAGCUCUGCUUCCAGCCUUGAGGAAUCCUCAUCCCCACAGAGCAGUUACAGCUAAGUCUGUUUCAUGCUCCCUUCAGGUGUCUGGGAACCACCAAGGCGGGCUCUCCCUAUGGGUUAACGCUAAUGAGGGUUAAGGCCCGCUGGGCUGUCUGUCCGGGGUAAUUACGAGGUGAGGGUUCAGAGGGCUCCUCCCUGAUAUCGGCUGGUGGGAAAAUGGUCCAGGACCUUUUUUCUCUUUUCUACUGUGGGGACAGGGCAGGUGCCCCACCCCUGUUAUCCAGCUCGCAGCUUUCAGGCUUGGCGCCAGGGCUGCUUUAGAUUCUGCUCCUCACACUGGCCUAGGUUGUCACACUUUGAAGAGGUGAAGCUCAUUGUCUCGCAUCAAUUUGACUCCACAGCAUUUAUUAAAAGGAUUUACUGCAUGCCAGGCUUUGUGCCAGCUCCUGGGGAAUGAAACUAAGAUGAGCACCUCACCAUGAGAAAUUCAUACCAGGCACUAAAGUAUGGCUGCACUGGUACAGAAGCAUGUACGGGGACUGAGGGGACAAGGGGCUGCUUGGCCAUCAUACAGCACCUGACAAAAGCCAGACAGUUGCCAGCAUACCUUUGCUAACAGGCUAGAAAGUGCAAGGGGCAGCGACAAACAAGAGAGCCUACAGUAGCUCAGGAAUAAACAUAACAAAAGACAUGUAAUCCUCACAUGAGGAAAACUUUACAACUUUGAUGGACACACAAAAAGACUAGAAUAGAAGUUCCCUUCUGGCGAAGAGAGUUAAGGAUCCAGCAUUGCCACAACCAUGGCACAGGGUGCAACUGUGGUUCAGGUUCGAUUCCUAGCCCAGGAACUUCCACAUGCUGUGGGUGUUGUGGGUGUGGGAGGGAAGGGAAAAAAAAAAAAAAGACUAGAAUAGAAUAUUUAUUCCCUCGAUGGGUAGACUCAGUAUAAAGCUGUUCAUUCUCCUCAAAAUAAUCUAUAAGUUCCAUGUGAUCCCAACUGAAAAAUUCCAACAUUUUUCAGAGAACUUGACAAGCGGUUUAUAAGCUGAUUUGGAAAAGGAAAUUCAAGAGAGAAGCCAAAGAAAUUGUGUGGAAAAAAUGAGUUUUUGUUUUUGUUUAAUCCAAAUUGUUAUAUAAAAACUGCAGUAAUUAAAACAAUGAAAUACAACAGAAUCGGACAAAUAAUUCCAUGGAACUGGAGAGGCCCUAAAAGUUUGCUUAUGAAUAUGUGAAUAUUUACCAAAUGCUCAAGGUAGAAUUGAAAGUCAUUUGGGAAACUAUAAAUAUUUAAUAAAUAGAUCAGAGAUAACAAACUUUCUCUUUGGGAAAAUUCAAUCUCUAUCUUAUACCAUAUACAAAAAUGAAUCUCAGCUUAGAGUGAUCUAAAUAUAUAAAAUAAAACCAUACUAUAAAGUACAAACUUGGAUGCCAAAAUACUGAUGAAUUCCAGUGUAUAAAAAUCAAAUUUCCAUUAGAUGGACAAAAUGAAAGACAAAUGAGAAGCCAAUUUUUUUUCAAAAUACAGUAAGAUUAAUAUUGAUAACAUAUUAAGAACUUUAAUAAAUCAAUAAAUAGACAAUCUAAUUAAAAGUGGGUAACGGAUACAACAGGUAAUACAUAGAAUAAAUGCAAAAAUGGUUAACAUUUAAAAUAUUCUCACGUUCAAUAAUAAAAAAAUGUGAUAUCCUUUUUCACCUACCAAAUUGGUAAAAAUUAAAGACUGAAGGAAUUCCUCUGUGGAUCAGUGGGUUAAGGACCCACUGUUGGCACUGCAUGCCAUGAGUAUGGCCAAAACCAAACAAACAAAAAAGAAAACCACACAAAAUU
ensembl:lncRNA